AAAACAUCAGGAUCUUGAACCUUGGGGUCAUUAACAAGAAUAAGAUAAGAAUUUGUGUUCUUAUCGCCCAGAAUGGACAAAUCAGUAGCGUUCCUUGUCGUUCUUUUGUGGCUGGUUAUCCGUUACUGAGAUCAUCAUGAAAUCUCCCUCGUACGAGAGUUGCAGAACUCUGCAGUGUCAAUCAUAGUGUUUGGGAGAGAGGACUUUCUACCUCCAUCCUUUUUCUGAACCUAAAUGGAAUGAAAAUUAGAACUGUUGCUUAUUCUUUGAGGUAAUUUCAAAUUCCCUUAUCCAAACCAGUGUUACAAAAGGACUCCAGUUUGCCCCCCAAAUCGGUCUAUUAAGAAUGUAAUGAUGAAUUUUCAUCCAAAUCCUACAGUAUGAGCUGUUCUAAAAUAACUCUAGAAACAAAUAUGACAAUAUUCCAAAAGUCCUGCCCUCAGACUUUAUUUUGUUUUAGAGUUAUGUGUGUAUCCAUUUUGUAUCCCCUGAAGCACGAUGAGCCACUUGAGGCCAGGUACAGCCAUGGCGUGUAUCCCAGAGCACCCGUGAGAAUGUCUCACAGUCUGUCUCUCCUGAAUGUGAAGGGAUGGGCAACAGCCGGAGCCACCAUCCGUGUGACUGGCCCGUGACCGCCUCCAGCUCACACAGAACCUCUGCAUGCAACGGAAAAAGGUCUCCCCUGGGUGAAUGGUGUGGGAAACGUGUGCCGCUCCAGGCGGCUGGUGAGCAGAGUCAUCCCCUUGGCAGGGUGUGACUUGUACAGCUCCACCAGGGGCCCUGUGACAAGACAGGCUUCGACCCUGCCCUCUUGCAGCUCGUAUGUAUGAGGGGCAGCCCAAUAAAUAAAUAAGCAAAUCCAUGCUGUCAUUUCAGGUAUUAGCUAGAGCUUUGGAGGAAAAGCAGGCUGAGGGGAGGGAAUGACGGGCAGGAGCAACGCAGGCAGCAGGCCAGGGAGGGGCCGAGUCGGGGCCUGGGUAACAGGCAGUGCCAUGUAUAAAACGUUAAAAAAUGUGAAAACCAGUUUUACAUACCGAGUAGUUAAUAUUUCCAUCUUCCCCCCAUUUUGGUUUUAGUUCAUUCUAGGUUUCUUUUCAUUUCCUGUAUUUCUUCGACACUAUAGUUUUGUGCUGGGUCAGGCCAGCCCAGGGUGAGUCCCACUGAGUGGCUGCUUUGGGUGAAGGUUGAAGCCUCCCCUCCAUGGGCUGCGGCGCCAGUCUCUGUGUGUGGCCUGGUCACAGCACUCAGGCGUCUCCGACCAGCAAGAGUGCCUUGGGGACACUGGUUCUCCCCUCAGGCCUCCGACUUGCAGGGCCUGCCUGGGUGGCCGAGGGGAUGCUUGUGUGUCCACACACAGUGUGAACACAGCAUAUGAGGGCGCCCCAGUUUCCUCUGCAGACUUCAGGAGAAGAUUCUUUAAGCAGAGUUCACAAAGAAGCAAUAGGACUGAGGCAGGGUAGGGGAAAUAGGUUGAUACCGAAAUACAGGGAGAAGUGCCCUAAUGUGUGCUGAGGGUGCUUUGGAAAGAUUUCAGGUGACUCAGCCGUGGUCAGGCAUCUUGUGAAGAUGGGAGAACUGCGGGCCUUUCUGCAGCGUGGACAGCAGGUUCCCUCUCCUGGGCGUGCCCUUGCCUUCGGAUUUGGGGGGUUUCCCCUGGCAGGGCUGGGACCCCCUGCAGACAAUGGGGACCUUCCAAAGUCUGGGAAAAGAAACCAGACCAGGUACUGGGACGCAGGUCACCAGGAGCCUGCAGCGUGGGGCCCAGUAGUGAGGCCCUUCCUGGGUCUGUGGCCUCCUCAGUACUGUGAGGCUGCCAGGCUGAGAGUUUCUUUCCAAUCUGAAGUCCUCCACUAGACAACUGAGGAGAACCGCACCUGUGUGGUCUCCUGGUCUCCUUGGGAGUGAUGAGGGCAGAGACCCCCCUACAGGCCACAGAGGAGUCCACUAAGGCUCACCCAGGCCUGCUGCUCCAAGGACCCACCCAGUCCCUAGGAUUUGUGCUUGAAGCAGCCACUGCCCACACGUGCAUCCUGCCCACGCUGUGCUCACACGU
rnacentral:lncRNA from 1 species